rnacentral:rRNA from 1 species
UACGUAGGUGGCAAGCGAUACUCGGAAUCACUAGGCGUAAAGCGCAGGUAGGCGGUUCGGUAAGUCUUUUGUGAAAGCUCCCGGCUCAACUGGGAGAGGCCAAGGGAAACUGCCGGGCUAGAGUGUGGUAGGGGAUACUGGAAUUCCUGGUGUAGCGGUGAAAUGCGUAGAUAUCAGGAGGAAUACCUAUGGCGAAAGCAGGUAUCUGGGCCAUCACUGACGCUGAGCUGCGAAAGCUAGGGGAGCAAACAGG